GGAAUAUUGGACAAUGGGCGCAAGCCUGAUCCAGCCAUGCCGCGUGAGUGAUGAAGGCCCUAGGGUUGUAAAGCUCUUUCACCGGUGAAGAUAAUGACGGUAACCGGAGAAGAAGCCCCGGCUAACUUCGUGCCAGCAGCCGCGGUAAUACGAAGGGGGCUAGCGUUGUUCGGAAUUACUGGGCGUAAAGCGCGCGUAGGCGGAUUAGUCAGUCAGAGGUGAAAUCCCAGGGCUCAACCCUGGAACUGCCUUUGAUACUGCUAGUCUUGAGUUCGAGAGAGGUGAGUGGAAUUCCGAGUGUAGAGGUGAAAUUCGUAGAUAUUCGGAGGAACACCAGUGGCGAAGGCGGCUCACUGGCUCGAUACUGACGCUGAGGUGCGAAAGCGUGGGGAGCAAA
rnacentral:rRNA from 1 species